rnacentral:rRNA from 1 species
GAUGAACGCUGGCGGCGUGCCUAAUACAUGCAAGUCGAGCGAACGGACGAGAAGCUUGCUUCUCUGAUGUUAGCGGCGGACGGGUGAGUCACACGUGGAUAACCUACCUAUAAGACUGGGAUAACUUCGGGAAACCGGCGCUAAUACCGGAUGAUAUUUUGAACCGCAUGGUUCAAAAGUGAAAGACGGUCUUGCUGUCACUUAUAGAUGGAUCCGCGCUGCAUUAGCUAGUUGGUAAGGUAACGGCUUACCAAGGCAACGAUGCAUAGCCGACCUGAGAGGGUGAUCGGCCAGCCUGGAACUGAGACACAGUCCAGACUCCUACAGGGGGCAGCAGUAGGGAAUCUUCCGCAAUGGGGGAAAGCCUGACGGAGCAACGCCGCGUGAGUGAUGAAGGUCUUCGGAUCGUAAAACUCUGUUAUUAGGAAAGAACAUAUGUGUAAGUAACUGUGCACAUCUUGACGGUACCUAAACAGAAAGCCACGGCUAACUACGUG